CAGGGAAUUUUGCGCAAUGGGCGAAAGCCUGACGCAGCGACACCGCGUGGGGGAAGAAGGCUUUCGGGUUGUAAACCCCUUUUCUCGGGGAAGAGAGAGGACGGUACCCGAGGAAUAAGGUUCGGCUAACUACGUGCCAGCAGCCGCGGUAAUACGUAGGAACCGAGCGUUGUCCGGAUUUACUGGGCGUAAAGAGCGCGUAGGCGGCCCAUCAAGUCCCAUGUGAAAUCUCCCGGCUUAACUGGGAGGGGUCAUGGGAAACUGGUGGGCUGGAGGGCAGUAGAGGAAAGUGGAAUUCCCGGAGUAGUGGUGAAAUGCGUAGAUACCGGGAGGAACACCCGUGGCGAAGGCGGCUUUCUGGGCUGCACCUGACGCUGAGGCGCGAAAGCAUGGGGAGCAAACCGGAUUAGAUACCCCCGUAGUCC
rnacentral:rRNA from 1 species